ensembl:lncRNA
CUGGUAGUCAUACAGCGCAUCGUGGGCCCAGAGUGUGUCAUCGCUGUCAGAGACCAGGCCAUUUUGCGAGAGACUGUGACGGUGUGCGCAAUUCCCGCCCCCAGUUUUCUUCACCAGAUUCCAGGCCGUCUGCUAGGCAGGCAGAACCCAGCACGGCUCCGGAAAACUAGCACCCACCAAACUGCAGAGCCACAGUUUAGGUGGGGCCCCUCAUGGCUCACGCCCUGUGUCUGGUGGGCUAGCUCAAGGCCCCAGACUGGUGUCGUCCUGUCCCUAUUUAGAGGUUCUCAUGGGAGGAGUCAAGGUGCCAUGUUUGAUUGACACCGGCUCUAUGGUUUCUACUGUUACAGAAAGCUUCUUUCAAAAACAUUUUGAACCUUGGGGUCAGGAGCGGCUCAAAGCCUGUAGCUGGUUACAGCUAAGGGCAGCUAAUGGGUUGAGCAUCCCGUACCUGGGUUAUUUGGAGCUCGAUGUUGAGUUGUGCGGUAAACUAGUUUCACUGUGUGGUAUCUUGGUGGUAAAAGACCCCCCUGGUAAUGCUUCUCUUCAGGCCCCUGGUGUGUUGGGAAUGAACGUGAUCCAGAAAUGUUAUCAAGAGCUCUUUGUGCAGCACGGUUUGUCCCUGUUUAAUCUGCCCUCUGUCACGCAGGCCCCACAACCUGUCACGCAGGCAUUACAGGAGUACCAUCAGGUGACCACGCAGACCUCCCAGGAGCUGUCUGGGAAGGCAAAGGUCAGAGGAAUCGCAGAGGUUCCAUCCACUGUAGCCAUUGUAGCUUCUCACACCGCCUUACCUACCGUGCCAGACCAGAUUGAGGGUUUAGAUCUGUCUUCUCUUUCCCCUGAAGAGCAAGGUCAGACGAGACCCCAGUCACGCAACGCUACAGGCGUGUAUCCCCUUCUGAUUAUGAGGCUGUCAAAGACCACAUUAAUCAGCUUCUUUCUGCUCAGAGCAGCAUCUUCAGCGACUUGACGUGGUACUAGCCCGUCUGAAACAGGAGAGACUCAAGGCCAAGCUCUCCAAAUGCACCUUUUUCCAGCCAGAGGUGCGGUAUCUCGGCCACAUUAUAUCGGCCAACGGUGUCGCCACGGACCCAUCCAAAAUAGAGGCCGUGGCAAAGUGGCAGCCUCCCCA